rnacentral:lncRNA from 1 species
AACAGGUAAUAAAAACAGGUGAUAAAACAUGCUCUCAUGGAAUGCAUCACCCAUAAGUAAAUCACAUCAUCUCGGCAUGGACGGAUCAAAACUCCCUCUAUCUGGGUCCGGCCUUCUAGGAGCUCUUAGGACUACACGUAAUCUGGGGUACCGAAGUACCAGUGGCCUGGUCCCCGUAGGGCUGUUCCAAGUCCACAUCUUGAGGGCUAUUG